GACGAAACGCUGGCGGCGUGCCUAAUACAUGCAAGUCGAACGCACUCUCGUUUAGAUUGAAGGAGCUUGCUCCUGAUUGAUAAACAUUUGAGUGAGUGGCGGACGGGUGAGUAACACGUGGGUAACCUGCCCUAAAGUGGGGGAUAACAUUUGGAAACAGAUGCUAAAUACCGCAUAAAACCUAAACACCGCAUGGUGUAGGGUUGAAAGAUGGUUUCGGCUAUCACUUUAGGAUGGACCCGCGGUGCAUUAGUUAGUUGGUGAGGUAAAGGCUCACCAAAGACCGUGAUGCAUAGCCGACCUGAGAGGGUAAUCGGCCACACUGGGACUGAGACACGGCCCAGACUCCUACGGGAGGCAGCAGUAGGGAAUCUUCCACAAUGGACGAAAGUCUGAUGGAGCAACGACCGCGUGAGUGAAGAAGUUUCGGAUCGUAAAACUCUAGUUGUUGGAGAAGAAUAGUAUCUGAUAGUAACUGAU
rnacentral:rRNA from 1 species